GUGGACGUAGGAUUAUUUUGAUCCGAACCACGUUAAAUCUUGUGUUUUUUCUUUUACGUUUCCGCUAACAGUGAUGUUAGAUUUUAGUUGUCUGAUAAUAGCUGAAGUACCAAGCUGCAUAGUCUGCUAAUCAAUGGGGAGUAUGUUACAUGCUUGUUUUCCAUUUUCGAAGGGCUGUGAAUUUUCCAACUUUAGAUGAGCUUAACUCUGGAUGUGACCUUAAUCCUUCUUAAUGUUGAUAAUAGGAGAAAUAUUUGGUGAUGCUAAUGAACUGCUAUCACCAAGGCAGGUAAAUGUAUGUUUACUUCAUGAUCAUUAUGUUGGAUACUUUGAUGGAACAGUAGGAUAAUGUCAUUUGUAGUUGGCAAUUCGUCCGUGUAAUAUUGUGUACGUGAUAUAGAUGAUGAUAUUCUUUUUGUUUCCAGAUGCUAAUUCAGCCUAGCUUACUAAUA